AGUGAUCAGAAGUGAGAAUGUUGACAUGAGUAGCGACAAACAGGGUGAGAGACCCUGUCGCCGAAAGUCCAAGGGUUCCUGCUUAAAGCUAAUCUGAGCAGGGUAAGCCGGCCCCUAAGGCGAGGCCGAAAGGCGUAGUCGAUGGGAACCAGGUUAAUAUUCCUGGGCCAGGAGAUGGUGACGGAUCCCAGAGGUAGUUCAUCCUUAUCGGAUUGAAUGGGCUGCUGAGGGGUUCCUGGAAAUAGCCCUCCAUGAGACCGUACCCUAAACCGACACAGGUGGACUGGUAGAGAAUACCAAGGCGCUUGAGAGAACCACAUUUAAGGAACUCGGCAAAAUACCUCCGUAAGUUCGCGAGAAGGAGGCCCCGUUCGUAGGCAACUAUGGGCGGGGGGCACAAACCAGGGGGUGGCGACUGUUUACUAAAAACACAGGGCUCUGCGAAGUCGCAAGACGACGUAUAGGGUCUGACGCCUGCCCGGUGCCGGAAGGUUAAAAGGAGAUGUGCAAGCAUUGAAUUGAAGCCCCGGUAAACGGCGGCCGUAACAAUAACGGUCCUAAGGUAGCGAAAUUCCUUGUCGGGUAAGUUCCGACCUGCACGAAUGGCGUAACGACUUCCCCGCUGUCUCAAAUGUGGACUCAGCGAAAUUGAAUUGUCUGUGAAGAUGCAGACUUCCCGCGGUUAGACGGAAAGACCCCAUGCACCUUUACUAUAGCUUCGCACUGGCAUCAGGAUUGUGAUGUGCAGGAUAGGAGGUAGGCUUUGAAAUCGGGACGCCAGUUCCGAUGGAGCCAUCCUUGAGAUACCGCCCUUCGCACUCUUGAUGUCUAACCGCGGUCCGUUAUCCGGAUCCGGGACCCUGCGUGGUGGGUAGUUUGACUGGGGCGGUCGCCUCCUAAAGAGUAACGGAGGCGCGCGAAGGUUGGCUCAGAGCGGUCGGAAAUCGCUCGUUGAGUGCAAUGGCAGAAGCCAGCCUGACUGCAAGACUGACAAGUCGAGCAGAGUCGAAAGACGGCCAUAGUGAUCCGGUGGUCCCGAGUGGAAGGGCCAUCGCUCAACGGAUAAAAGGUACGCUGGGGAUAACAGGCUGAUGAUGCCCAAGAGUCCAUAUCGACGGCAUCGUUUGGCACCUCGAUGUCGGCUCAUCUCAUCCUGGGGCUGGAGCAGGUCCCAAGGGUACGGCUGUUCGCCGUUUAAAGAGGUACGUGAGCUGGGUUUAGAACGUCGUGAGACAGUUCGGUCCCUAUCUGCCGUGGGUGUAGGAUACUUGAGAGGAGUUGCCCCUAGUACGAGAGGACCGGGGUGAACGUUCCACUGGUGGACCAGUUGUCGUGCCAACGGCAGUGCUGGGUAGCUAUGAACGGACAGGAUAAACGCUGAAGGCAUCUAAGCGUGAAGCCCCCCUCAAAACCAGGUAUCCCUUGAGAGCCGUGGAAGACCACCACGUCGAUAGGCCGGAGAUGUAAGCGCAGCAAUGCGUUCAGUUGACCGGUACUAACGGCUC
rnacentral:rRNA from 1 species